AAGUCGUAACAAGGUUUCCGUUAGUGAACCUGCGGAAGGAUCAUUACUGAAUUGUCAACACGAGUUGUUGCUGGUCCCUCAAACGGGGGCAUGUGCACGCUCUGUUCACACAUCCACUCACACCUGUGCACCCUCUGUAGUUCUAUGGCUCUCGGGGGACUCUGUCCUCCUGUCUUGGUUCUACAUCUUUACACAAACACUGUAAUAAAGUCUCAUGGAAUGUAUGCCGCGUUUAACGCAAUACAAUACAACUUUCAGCAACGGAUCUCUUGGCUCUCGCAUCGAUGAAGAACGCAGCGAAAUGCGAUAAGUAAUGUGAAUUGCAGAAUUCAGUGAAUCAUCGAAUCUUUGAACGCACCUUGCGCCCUUUGGCUAUUCCGAAGGGCAUGCCUGUUUGAGUAUCAUGAACACCUCAACUCUCAUGGUUUGCCAUGAUGAGCUUGGACUUUGGGGGUCUUGCUGGCCAGUUGUCGGCUCCUCUCAAACGAAUCAGCUUGCCAGUGUUUGGUGGCAUCACGGGUGUGAUAACUAUCUACGCUUGUGGUUUUCCGCCAGAUAACCUUCAGUGACAUGGAGGUUUGCUGGAGCUCAUAAAUGUCUCUCCCCAGCGAAGACAGCUUUGUGAACGUUGAUCUCAACUC
rnacentral:rRNA from 1 species